rnacentral:rRNA from 1 species
CCGGGACCAUCCGGUAAGGCUAAAUACUCCCGAGAGACCGAUAGCGAACCAGUACCGUGAGGGAAAGGUGAAAAGAACCCCGAGCAGGGGAGUGAAAUAGACCCUGAACCCGUCUGCCUACAAGCGGUCGGAGCGUCGUAAUGACGUGACGGCGUGCCUUUUGCAUAAUGAACCUACGAGUUACCUUCCCCGGCAAGGUUAAGUACCUAAGGUACGGAGCCGAAGCGAAAGCGAGUCUGAACAGGGCGCCAAGUCGGGGGGGGUAGACGCGAAACCGAGUGAUCUACCCUUGGCCAGGUUGAAGGUUGGGUAACACCAACUGGAGGACCGGAUGGGUAAGCGUUGAAAAGCUUUCCAAUGAGCUGAGGGUAGGGGUGAAAGGCUAAUCAAACUCGGAGAUAGCUCGUACUCCCCGAAAUGCAUUUAGGUGCAGCCUCUUUAUAGUAUAUCGUGAGGUAGAGCGACUGAUUGGAUGCGAGGGCUUCACCGCCUAUCAAGUCCAGAUAAACUCCGAAUGCGCGAUAUAUAUUUACAGGGAGUGAGGGCGCGGGUGCUAAGGUCCGUGUCCGAGAGGAGAAGAAUCCAGACCACCGGCUAAGGCCCCCAAAUGAUCGUCAAGUUGAACUAACGAGGUCGGAUCGCAGAGACAGCUAGGAUGUUGGCUUGGAAGCAGCCAUUCAUUUAAAGAGUGCGUAACAGCUCACUAGUCGAGCGAUCUGGCGUGGAUAAUAAUCGGGCAUAAACGAUCUGCCGAAGCCGUGGAUGUCGCAAGACAUGGUAGGGGAGCAUUCCAUGCGGCGUCGAAGAUGAGGGAUGACCCUUGUUGGAGCGCAUGGAAAAGCAAAUGUAGGUAUGAGUAACGAUAAGGGGGGCGAGAAACCCCCCCGCCGAAAGACCAAGGUUUCCUGAUCAACGCUAAUCGGAUCAGGGUGAGUCGGGACCUAAGGCAAAGCCGAACGGCGCCGCCGAUGGAAGAAUGGGUUAAUAUUCCCAUACUGCCUCAUGGAGUGACGUGGAGACGGAGAAGUGACAGUCCUGCCGGCUGACGGAAUAGCCGGUUGAAGGGUGUAGAUAUUGAUUCCCGUAGGCAAAUCCGCGGGGAGAGUCGAACCUGAGAGUAUACGGAGCGCUUGCGCAACGUAAUAUGGACGUAACCAUGCUCCCGAGAAAAUCCGCUAAACUUAUCCAUGCGGCACCCGUACCGUAAACGGACACACGUGGUCGGGUUGAGAAUACUGAGGCGCUCGAGUGAUUCACGGUUAAGGAACUAGGCAAAUUGACCCUGUAACUUCGGGAUAAAGGGUCCCAACGAGAGUUGGGCGCAGAGAAUAGGUCCAGGCAACUGUUUAACAAAAACACAGGGCUGUGCCAAUAUGAAAGUAGACGUAUACAGCCUGACACCUGCCCGGUGCUGGAAGGUUAAGAGGAGAUGUCAUCGCAAGAGAAGCAUUGAAUUGAAGCCCCAGUAAACGGCGGCCGUAACUAUAACGGUCCUAAGGUAGCGAAAUUCCUUGUCGGGUAAGUUCCGACCUGCACGAAUGGUGUAAUGAUCUGGACGCUGUCUCAACCGUGAGCUCAGUGAAAUUGUAGUAUCGGUGAAGAUGCCGAUUACCCGCGAUGGGACGAAAAGACCCCGUGAACCUUUACUAUAGCUUAACAUUGAAUUUGGGUAAUUGAUGUGUAGGAUAGGCCGGAGACUUUGAAGCAGGUACGCCAGUAUUUGUGGAGUCGCUGUUGAAAUACGGCCCUUUGAUUAUUUGAGUUCUAACUCGCAGUCGCGAGGACACUGUUUGGUGGGUAGUUUGACUGGGGUGGUCGCCUCCAAAAGUGUAACGGAGGCUUCUAAAGGUGCCCUCACGCCGAUUGGUAACCGGCGGCAGAGUGUAAUGGCAUAAGGGCGCUUGACUGGGAGACUUACAAGUCGAUCAGGUAGGAAACUAGAGCAUAGUGAUCCGGUGUUUCCGUAUGGAAGGGACAUCGCUCAAAGGAUAAAAGGUACUCCGGGGAUAACAGGCUGAUCCCUCCCAAGAGCUCAUAUCGACGGAGUGGUUUGGCACCUCGAUGUCGGCUCGUCACAUCCUGGGGCUGGAGAAGGUCCCAAGGGUUGGGCUGUUCGCCCAUUAAAGUGGCACGCGAGCUGGGUUCAGAACGUCGUGAGACAGUUCGGUCUCUAU